rnacentral:rRNA from 1 species
UACGUAGGGGGCAAGCGUUGUCCGGAUUUAUUGGGCGUAAAGAGCGUGUAGGCGGCCAGGUAGGUCGGUUGUGAAAACUGGAGGCUCAACCUUCAGACGUCGACCGAAACCAUCUGGCUAGAGUCCGGGAGAGGAGAGUGGAAUUCCUGGUGUAGCGGUGAAAUGCGCAGAUAUCAGGAAGAACACCUAUGGCGAAGGCAGCUCUCUGGGACGGUACUGACGCUGAGACGCGAAAGCGUGGGGAGCGAACAGG